GACGAACGCUGGCGGCGUGCUUAACACAUGCAAGUCGAGCGGUAAGGCCCUUUCGGGGGUACACGAGCGGCGAACGGGUGAGUAACACGUGGGUGACCUGCCCUCAGCUCUGGGAUAAGCCCGGGAAACUGGGUCUAAUACCGGAUAUGACUCCACGGUGCAUGUCGUGGGGUGGAAAGCCUUGUGCGGCUGAGGAUGGGCCCGCGGCCUAUCAGCUUGUUGGUGGGGUGAUGGCCACCAAGGCGACGACGGGUAGCCGGCCUGAGAGGGCGACCGGCCACACUGGGACUGAGACACGGCCCAGACUCCUACGGGAGGCAGCAGUGGGGAAGUCUUGCGCAAUGGGCGAAAGCCUGACGCAGCGACGCCGCGUGAGGGAUGACGGCCUC
rnacentral:rRNA from 1 species